GGCUUGGGAAGAAUUAGCAAUAGAAUUUAAUAACUCUAACGUGUCACAUACUUACAAUUUUUUUUCGAUUUUAGGCUGAUUCUAAACAAUUAAAAAAGAUGUGGCAAAAUAUGAAGGCAAAAGCUAGGGAUGCCAAAACCCUUGAAGCCCAAAGGAAGAGGACAGGAGGAGGACCAGCACCGCCUGAAAUGGGGCCAAUGGACACUCAAGUGAUUGCAGUCAUGCAAG